AAGCAUUUGCGACAGAUUUUUCGGAAUGAAGUUUUUGUGACUGAGUGGCGGACGGGUGAGUAACGCGUGGGUAACCUGCCUUGUACUGGGGGACAACAGUUGGAAACGACUGCUAAUACCGCAUAAGCUUACGGUACCGCAUGGUACAGUAAGAAAAACUCCGGUGGUACAGGAUGGGCCCGCGUCUGAUUAGCUGGUUGGCGGUGUAACGGACCACCAAGGCAACGAUCAGUAGCCGGCUUGAGAGGGCGACCGGCCACAUUGGGACUGAGAUACGGCCCAGACUCC
rnacentral:rRNA from 1 species